AUGGUCACAAGGCAGCAGCUUUACCACUGCGCCAAGGCUCCCCUUCAAACAAGUUCGUCCUUGCACGAGAAAAAUGACGAGAAUUUGUAUCACAUUAUGGUUUUCUCUGAAACAAUGACUGAUACAGUGGAGGAUAAAAGUGCUCUGAUACAGCGGCAACAAAAAGUGGUGCAACGGAGGAUCAGGGUCGGUGUGGUUACGACUUGCGGCGGCUGCGGAGUCGUCGCCACGUCUCGGUACUGCCGGCCUCUACCGCUAGGCCCCCCUCUUUGUACUCUGAUAGAAUCCUGCAUUUUUUCUUGCUUCUAA
rnacentral:rRNA from 1 species